AUCCUUUUGUAGUUCAUAAGUAUGAUGAUUGGGUGUUCACACUCUUGUGUGGGAUGUGCCUCCCACAAACCUUGUUCCAUCUUCACAUUUUUCCCUCUGACA